AUCACUUAUGUCAUUCUGGGGAAAUACCAUUUCACCACCUAGCAAAAAGAAAAAAGAUAUCCAUCCAGCGCCGUCUUCGUCAAAUGAAACACGAAGUUUCCUAAAUGCAACUACGACAGAGCCUGCAAGGAUUGAAAUUAAUUUAACAGACAACAAAAAAGAAAGAGAAAAUCCGGCACAAGUUAGGAGU